CUGUCCUGAUAUCUGGAAUAACACUCCGAAAGGUGUGCUAAUACCGGAUACGCUGAGAAAUCAGGAAAGGUGGCCUCUUCAUGAAAGCUACUGUAUCAGGAGGAGCUUGCGUACCAUUAGCUAGUUGGUGGGGUAAUGGCCUACCAAGGCAACGAUGGUUAGCGGGUCUGAGAGGAUGAUCCGCCACACUGGAACUGGAACACGGACCAGACUCCUACGGGAGGCAGCAGUGAGGAAUAUUGCGCAAUGGGGGCAACCCUGACGCAGCGACGCCGCGUGGAUGAUGAAGGCCUUCGGGUCGUAAAAUCCUGUCAGAUGGAAAGAAAUGUCAUAUGCCUAAUAUGUGUAUGAUUUGACGGUACCAUCAAAGGAAGCACCGGCUAACUCCGUGCCAGCAGCCGCGGUAAUACGGAGGGUGCAAGCGUUGUUCGGAAUUACUGGGCGUAAAGCGCGCGUAGGCGGCUUUUUAAGUCAGAUGUGAAAGUCCACGGCUCAACCGUGGAAGUGCAUUUGAUACUGGGAAGCUUGAGUACUGGAGGGGAUGGUGGAAUUCCCGGUGUAGAGGUGAAAUUCGUAGAUAUCGGGAGGAAUACCGGUGGCGAAGGCGACCAUCUGGCCAGAUACUGACGCUGAGGUGCGAAAGCGUG
rnacentral:rRNA from 2 species